UGAAAUACAAAAGAAUAAGAAGUCGCAUAAUAUAGAAUGGAGUAAACGAACUGCUUGCUUUAAGUGAGAAUAGCUAUAGGUGCUUGGCUUGUUUUAUCUUAUUAGUGUACCUAUGCUUGUCAUUAUUGAACCUAAUUCCUUACUUCUCAAGCAACAACAGUUUGGCCAGUGCUCAGUCAACUUUCUUCUUCUGAGACUUAUUUCAAAUCAUCUAUCUAUCUAUCUUGCACAAUAUAGAAAAUGGAAUAUGGUAAACAAACGGUAUUGCUUCCUAACUCACUCUCUCUCUCUAUAAGGCACCCGCCGGAAAGUAUGUUGAAUCGAAUUGAGGCACAGCACUGUUAUCAGAGUUGAGACUAUCGCCCCUGCCUUUCAUAAUUCAGAAUGGAAUUUGGCGUUAUCCGUUUCUACUAGCGAAAGACACACACCUAUUUUCGAAUGGAAUUUGGCGUUAUCAGUAUAGAUCUCAGUAAAAGCACACUACUUACUCUCAAAGGGAUAAUGUAGGCUCAGUUACGUUGCUUGGACCACAACUCCGUUUAGGCUGGAACUUCAUCUUUCUCGUUUUAGGGUUUACAGCCAGCCCCGAAUAAAGCUCUUGUUGUUGAAUUGAGGCACAUGGUUAUAUAAUCUAUUUGUAUUUACUGUGGAACCCUUACUUAUUACAUCAAAGGUCUGCUCGAUUGAAUGAAGAAGAGUCACCCGAUCCACCGCUGAUCUCUUGUACCAGUGUAGUGUGAUAAGCCAGGCAUCAAAGAAAAGCAACCAGCUAACGACGCCUUAACGUUUUGAUGCUUGCUAAAGCAGAGUGAUUUUCAGGUUGGAGAGUCCGGAGAACAAGCAAACAAGUGAACAAACAACGGAACAAGAAAAGAAUGAAGCUAUCCACACACAUAUCUGAAUUAUUAACAAUACAGCUUUUGCUUCCUUAAAGAACAAAUGGGCGCCGAACACUGGACCGGGCCUACAGCUUUCCAACCUUCUUUUUACCUUGCACGCCUUUCUCUUAUUAGAUGAAAUUGUCUUAUAUGAAAUGUUUGAUAUGAAAUUCUCGUAUUAUAUGAUCUUCUCGGACCCUUUUUGCCAAAUCGGUGUCAAUAUCUAUAGUAUGAGGUUCAACCAUUUGCUGAGCUAGUUCUAUUCCUCUCUCCGCUGUUUCGCCUCCCGCUUGCUCUAGGAUCUCAGGCCCUAAGCUAGAGCCGGCAUGCGAGAAGCAUGUUUCCCGCACCCUAUGAGUGGUAACUUGCUCGACCCCCUGCUUCGAGAGCUGACACCUCUCAAUUCCCAGUCUACCCUUUUUCUCAACAGGAGCACCCUUAACUCCUCUUUCAGGAGCUUCGAAGUCCUCGGCUCGGGGAUGUUGCUUUUCUAAUCCCAGCUCUUGCAAACGUACUUGUACUGGGAUAUGAGAAAGGCCUUAUUUACUUUACACCACCUACAAGCUUCGGAAGGUCGAGAUUUAAGGAAGUGUCAAAGAUGUCGCCAUCUUCGGGGACAAGAACAAGCUCAAUAAAAGCUUCCUUUCGAGGAACAAGCUCAAUAAAAGCUUCCUUUCGAGGUUUCUUCUUUCUUUUGUCUUUUGAAAAUACCUAUAGGUUGAAGUUCACUCUAUAUCACUAAUGAUUCUAAGGGCAUUUAUUUGCCA